GUGUUUAGGGAUACUCCAACAUGGAUUCUAAGUGGGUUCUAUCCCUACUUCAUAUGGGCUGAGUGCAUUUGAUGGUUUUGGUGCACAAUUGGGAGAUUGGUGUUGCUUGAGGAGCUUUGGUGAGGCUUAGGGCUAAGGUUGGUGGAGACUUCCAAAGAAGAGGCUCAAUUGAUUUGGCUACAAGAGAUACAGGUCCAGGUGCUCAGAAGUGAGCUGUGGUUCGUCUGAGAGCCGGCGAAGAUCUUUAUUUUCUCUACUUUGUGUUUUGCUUAGAAUCUCUCCACCUUUGUUUUGAAGAUAUUAUAUUAUGUGUUGAACUCUUUUGGGACUUGCCUAUAGAGGCUCUUAUGUUUCCUUUGGGAGAGAUUAGGAUGUUCUGUUGUCAACUACUUUCAUACUGUACCCUAGCCGGCCUAAACUUCGCGGGUCGCGACUAGUGGCUAUUUACUUAUGUUAUAUAUAUCUAUCUGUUAUCUAUC